GAUCAUGGCUCAGGAUGAACGCUGGCGGCGUGCUUAACACAUGCAAGUCGAACGGGAAUUACUUUAUUGAAACUUCGGUCGAUUUAAUUUAAUUCUAGUGGCGGACGGGUGAGUAACGCGUGGGUAACCUGCCUCAUACAGGGGGAUAACAGUUAGAAAUGACUGCUAAUACCGCAUAAGACCACGGUACCGCAUGGUACAGUGGUAAAAACUCCGGUGGUAUGAGAUGGACCCGCGUCUGAUUAGGUAGUUGGUGGGGUAACGG
rnacentral:rRNA from 1 species